UACGGGGGGGGGCAAGCGUUGUUCGGAAUUACUGGGCGUAAAGGGCGCGUAGGCGGUUUGCUAAGUUGGAUGUGAAAACUCUGGGCUUAACCCAGAGCCUGCAUCCAAAACUGGCAAACUUGAGUACUGGAGGGGAAAGCGGAAUUCCUGGUGUAGCGGUGAAAUGCGCAGAUAUCAGGAGGAACACCGGUGGCGAAGGCGGUUCUCUGGGCAUGUCCUGACGCUGAGGAGCGAAAGGUGUGGGGAGCGAACAGG
rnacentral:rRNA from 1 species